CCAUCAGGACCAAAACCUCUCUCUACCUCAACAAGGCCCGCCCCCCCCCCACUGACACUUUACCUCAGCCACAACGCAGACUCUAUGCAUUACAUAAUGGAGAUCACAGGAUGGUUGCACUGCCACGUCUACAGUAGUGCAGAAUGGACAGAGGAAACGUGAUUGGGCCUCAUGUUUUUUGCAGACAACAUACAUUAUCCUACAAACUUGGGAUAGGAGGGUGAGUGAACAAGUUAUCCAUUGGUUGGAACCUACAUCCCCAAUGUUAGACGUACUAAAUCCUGCACACUGCUCCUUCAAAUGGACAAUCUGAACAUAUGUCGCCAUUUUCUAAAUCUUGUUAUUUUCCGUUGAGAAUGUUUCAAAGUAAUCUUAAAAAAAUUCUACUUACUUUUUGUUUCUACUGUUUAUAAGUAUGAUGUUUAAAUAUGAAAUGCUGUAUUCAUUAGUUGUACUAUAAUUCUACAAAUAUUUUUAUAUAUAUAUAUAUAUAUGUUGUUGCUAUGUACCUGUAAAGGUAUUAACAUCUGAUCUGAGGGGAAUUUCUCGUGGUUUAUUUUUAACUUGUGAUUGGAAAGCACUUUGAGCUACACGUGCUUUAUGAAAAGGGAUUUAUAAAUAAAGCUUUAUUAUAUAUUGCAA